AAAAGAAACUAACAAGGAYUCCCCUAGUAACUGCGAGUGAAGCGGGAAAAGCUCAAAUUUAAAAUCUGACAGUUGUUAGCUGUCCGAGUUGUAAUCUAGAGAAGUGUUAUCCGUGCUGGACCGUGUAUAAGWCUCCUGGAAUGGAGCGYCAUAGAGGGUGAGAAUCCCGYCUUUAACAUGGGCUACCAGCGCAAUAGUGAUAUGCUCUCAAAGAGUCGAGUUGUUUGGGAAUGCAGCUCAAAAUGGGUGGUAAAUUCCAUCUAAAGCUAAAUAUUGGCGAGAGACCGAUAGCGAACAAGUACCGUGAGGGAAAGAUGAAAAGAACUUUGGAAAGAGAGUUAAACAGUACGUGAAAUUGUUGAAAGGGAAACGCUUGAAGUCAGUCACAUUGAUCAGAGAUCAAUCUUGCUAUUAUUUUGCAGGGUGUAUUCUCUGGUUGAUGGGUCAGCAUCAAUUUUGACUGUCGGAAAAAGGCUGAGGGAAUGUAGCAUCCCUGUUGAUGUGUUAUAGCCCUUGGUUGUAUACGACAGAUGAGAUUGAGGAACUCAGCAUGCCGCAAGGCCAGGUUUUAAACCAUGUUCAUGCUUAGGAUGCUGGCGGAAUGGCUUUAAUCGACCC
rnacentral:rRNA from 1 species